rnacentral:tRNA from 1 species
GCGCGAGUGGCGGAAUUGGCAGACGCGCAGGAUUUAGGUUCCUGUGCCGCAAGGCGUGAGGGUUCAAGUCCCUUCUCGCGCACCA